GAUGAACGCUGACAGAAUGCUUAACACAUGCAAGUCAACUUGAACUUCGGUUUGGGUGGCGGACGGGUGAGUAGCGCGUAAAGAACUUGCCUCACAGAUAGGGACAACAUUUGGAAACGAAUGCUAAUACCUGAUAUUAUGAUUUUAGGGCAUCCUAGAAUUAUGAAAGCUAUAUGCGCUGUGGGAGAGCUUUGCGUCCCAUUAGCUAGUUGGAGAGGUAACGGCUCACCAAGGCGAUGAUGGGUAGCCGGCCUGAGAGGGUGAUCGGCCACAAGGGGACUGAGACACGGCCCUUACUCCUACGGGAGGCAGCAGUGGGGAAUAUUGGACAAUGGACCAAGAGUCUGAUCCAGCAAUUCUGUGUGCACGAUGAAGUUUUUCGGAAUGUAAAGUGCUUUCAGUUGGGAAGAAAAAAAUGACGGUACCAACAGAAGAAGUGACGGCUAAAUACGUGCCAGCAGCCGCGGUAAUACGUAUGUCACAAGCGUUAUCCGGAUUUAUUGGGCGUAAAGCGCGUCUAGGUGGUUAUGUAAGUCUGAUGUGAAAAUGCAGGGCUCAACUCUGUAUUGCGUUGGAAACUGUGUAACUAGAGUACUGGAGAGGUAAGCGGAACUACAAGUGUAGAGGUGAAAUUCGUAGAUAUUUGUAGGAAUGCCGAUGGGGAAGCCAGCUUACUGGACAGAUACUGACGCUGAAGCGCGAAAGCGUGGGUAGCAAACAGG
rnacentral:rRNA from 1 species